CGGGGCGUAGCUAAAUAGCACAGCAUCUCCCUUACUCUGAGAAGACACCCGUGCAAAUCGGGUCGCCCUGA
rnacentral:tRNA from 2 species